CAAUAGCGUAUAUUAAAGUUGUUGCAGUUAAAAAGCUCGUAGUUGGAUUUCUGGUGGGAGCGAUCGGUCUGGCGCUUAGCGCGAGUACUUGCAUCGUCUCCGGCCAUCCUUGGGGAGAGUCUGUCUUGCAUUAAGUUGUCGGGCAGAGGAUCCUCAUCGUUUACUGUGAAAAAAUUAGAGUGUUCAAAGCAGGCUUAUGCCGUUGAAUAUAUUAGCAUGGAAUAAUAAGAUAGGACUUUGGUACUAUUUUGUUGGUUUGCGCACCAAAGUAAUGAUUAAUAGGGACAGUUGGGGGUAUUCGUAUUCCGUUGUCAGAGGUGAAAUUCUUGGAUUUACGGAAGACGAACUACUGCGAAAGCAUUUACCAAGGAUGUUUUCAUUAA
rnacentral:rRNA from 1 species